rnacentral:rRNA from 1 species
UUGAACGCUGGCGGCAUGCCUUACACCUGCAAGUCGAACGGCAUCGCGGGAAAGCUUGCUUUCCUGGCGGCGAGUGGCGAACGGGUGAGUAACACAUCGGAACGUACCGGCUAGUGGGGGAUAACCCGUCGAAAGACGGGCUAAUACCGCAUACGCUCUUCGGAGGAAAGCAGGGGACCUUUGGGCCUUGCGCUAGUCGAGCGGCCGAUGUCCGAUUAGCUAGUUGGUGGGGUAAAGGCCUACCAAGGCGACGAUCGGUAGCGGGUCUGAGAGGACGAUCCGCCACACUGGGACUGAGACACGGCCCAGACUCCUACGGGAGGCAGCAGUGGGGAAUCUUGGACAAUGGGGGCAACCCUGAUCCAGCAAUGCCGCGUGGGUGAAGAAGGCCUUCGGGUUGUAAAGCCCUUUCGGCAGGGAAGAAAUCGGCGGGGCGAAUAACCCUGCUGGAUGACGGUACCUGCAGAAGAAGCACCGGCUAACUACAUG